CAUUGGCUUGGUCCAGAAAGGCGGGACCUCGGUCCAGAAAGGCGGGACAACUUGAAGCCAAGACAGGAAGCAGGAAAGGGGCUUCCAGGUCACAGGUAGAAACAAAUGGUUGCAUCCUUUUGAGUUUCUGAUUAGCCUCUCCAAAGGAGGCAACAAGAGAUGCGUUUAUCUCAGUGAGCAGAAGGGUGACUUUGAAUAGAGUGGGAGGCAGGUUGGCCCUGAGCAAUUCCCAGCUUGACUUUUCCCUUUAGCUUAGUGAUUUUGGAGCCCCAAGAUUUAUUUUCCUUUCACAGCAUGUGGCGGUUCUUUAUUCUCAUAAAUGAUUUCAAAACAUUAUGCACUUGGGGGAUUUUAUAAUGAAAAAUCGCGGUGUCCUAUUAAAGCACAAAGAGGCAAAGCAGAAGCAGCAGACAGGACGUCAAAGAACCAGUGCAUGGCUGCGCCGGGCCCCGGGGCUUCCCACACGGGUUACUGUCAUCCUUCCGAAUCACUGGACUUGAAGCCCAGCAUGUUGCUGAGUUUUGCUCCAGAGACAAUUGCCAUUUGUUAUUUAAGUGACAAAGGUAACGCAUGCCGGCGGGAAGCAAUGCACAAAAUGUGAAGGUGAGUGGAGACCCUCCCCAGACCCCCCACCUCUGCCACCACCACA
rnacentral:lncRNA from 1 species